AGAGUUUGAUCCUGGCUCAGAACGAACGCUGGCGGCGUGCUUAACACAUGCAAGUCGAACGAGAAAGGGUUCUUCGGAACCCGAGUAAAGUGGCGCACGGGUGAGUAACGCGUAGAUAAUCUAUCUUUAUGUUUGGGAUAACCCUUCGAAAGGGGGACUAAUACCUGAUAUAUUCGUACCUAUCGGGGUAUGAAGGAAAGGUGGCCUCUAUUUAUAAGCUAUCGCAUGAAGAGGAGUCUGCGUACCAUUAGCUAGUUGGUGGGGUAAAGGCCUACCAAGGCAACGAUGGUUAGCGGGUCUGAGAGGAUGAUCCGUCACACUGGCACUGAAACACGGGCCAGACUCCUACGGGAGGCAGCAGUGAGGAAUAUUGCGCAAUGGGGGAAACCCUGACGCAGCGACGCCGCGUGAGUGAGGAAGGCCUUCGGGUCGUAAAGCUCUGUCAGAUGGGAAGAAGUGUUAUAUGGUUAAUACCCGUAUAAUUUGACGGUACCAUCAAUGAAGCACCGGCUAACUCCGUGCCAGCAGCCGCGGUAAUACGGAGGGUGCGAGCGUUGUUCGGAAUCACUGGGCGUAAAGGGCGCGCAGGCGGUUUUAUAAGUCAGAUGUGAAAGCCCACGGCUCAACCGUGGAAGUGCAUUUGAAACUGUAAGACUUGAGUAUCAGAGGGGAAAGUGGAAUUCCCGGUGUAGAGGUGAAAUUCGUAGAUAUCGGGAGGAAUACCGGUGGCGAAGGCGACUUUCUGGCUGAAUACUGACGCUGAGGCGCGAAAGCGUGGGGAGCAAACAGGAUUAGAUACCCUGGUAGUCCACGCCGUAAACGAUGUGAACUAGAUGUUGGAGGUGUUGAUCCCUUCGGUGUCGGAGCUAACGCAUUAAGUUCACCGCCUGGGGAGUACGGUCGCAAGAUUAAAACUCAAAGGAAUUGACGGGGGCCCGCACAAGCGGUGGAGUAUGUGGUUUAAUUCGAUGCAACGCGAAGAACCUUACCUGGUCUUGACAUCCCGAGGAUCUCCCGGAAACGGGAGAGUGCUUUCAUUAGAGAGAACUUGGUGACAGGUGCUGCAUGGCUGUCGUCAGCUCGUGUCGUGGGAUGUUGGGUUAAGUCCCGCAACGAGCGCAACCCUCGCCUUUAGUUGCCAUCAGGUUAUGCUGGGCACUCUAAAGGGACUGCCGGUGUUAAACCGGAGGAAGGCGGGGAUGACGUCAAGUCCUCAUGGCCUUUAUGACCAGGGCUACACACGUACUACAAUGGCCGGUACAAAGGGCAGCGAGCUUGCGAAAGUCAGCGAAUCCCGAAAAGCCGGUCUCAGUCCGGAUAGGAGUCUGCAACUCGACUCCUUGAAGUUGGAAUCGCUAGUAAUCGUGGAUCAGCAUGCCACGGUGAAUACGUUCCCGGGCCUUGUACACACCGCCCGUCACACCACGGGAGUUGGUUGUUCCAGAAGCAGUUGAGCUAACCUUCGGGAGGCAGGCUGCCAAGGAAUGGCUGGUAACUGGGGUGAAGUC
rnacentral:rRNA from 1 species